UCUCCGUAGGUGAACCUGCGGAGGGAUCAUUACAGAGUUCAUGCCCUACCGGGUAGAUCUCCCACCCUUUGUUUUUAUUACUUUGUUGCUUUGGCGGGCCGUUAGGCUCCGGCCCGACUACCGGCCCCGGCUGGUAAGCGCCCGCCAGAGGACCCAAAACCCUGAAUAUUAGUGUCGUCUGAGUACUAUAUAAUCGUUAAAACUUUCAACAACGGAUCUCUUGGUUCUG
rnacentral:misc_RNA from 1 species